rnacentral:rRNA from 1 species
CUACGGGGUGCACCAGUGAGGAAUAUUGCACAAUGGGGGGAACCCUGAUGCAGCAACGCCGCGUGGAGGAUGACGCAUUUCUUUUUGUAAACUCCUUUUAUAUGUCAAGAAAAUGACGGUAGCAUAUGAAUAAGCACCGGCUAACUCCGUGCCAGCAGCCGCGGUAAUACGGAGGGUGCAAGCGUUACUCGGAAUCACUGGGCGUAAAGGACGCGUAGGCGGGUUGGAAAGUCAGGUGUGAAAUCCUACAGCUUAACUGUAGAACUGCACUUGAAACUUCUAAUCUAGAGUAUGGGAGGGGGAGAUGGAAUUAGUGGUGUAGGGGUAAAAUCCGUAGAUAUCACUAGGAAUACCUAAAGCGAAGGCGAUCUCCUGGAACAUUACUGACGCUAAGGCGUGAAAGCGUGGGGAGCAAACAGGAUUAGAUACCCGUGUAGUC